rnacentral:rRNA from 1 species
GACGAACGCUGGCGGCGUGCUUAACACAUGCAAGUCGAACGGAAAGGCCCUGCUUGCCGGGUACUCGAGUGGCGAACGGGUGAGUAACACGUGGGUGAUCUGCCCUGCACUUCGGGAUAAGCCUGGGAAACUGGGUCUAAUACCGGAUAGGAGCCAUUUUUAGUGUGAUGGUUGGAAAGUUUUUUCGGUGUAGGAUGAGCUCGCGGCCUAUCAGCUUGUUGGUGGGGUAAUGGCCUACCAAGGCGGCGACGGGUAGCCGGCCUGAGAGGGUGGACGGCCACAUUGGGACUGAGAUACGGCCCAGACUCCUACGGGAGGCAGCAGUGGGGAAUAUUGCACAAUGGGCGCAAGCCUGAUGCAGCGACGCCGCGUGGGGGAUGACGGCCUUCUGGUUGUAAACUCCUUUCGCUAGGGACGAAGCUUUUUGUGACGGUACCUAGAUAAGAAGCACCGGCUAACUACGUG